UACGUAGGGGGCAAGCGUUGUCCGGAAUCAUUGGGCGUAAAGAGCGUGUAGGCGGUUCGGUAAGUCGGCUGUGAAAGUCCAGGGCUCAACCCUGGGAUGCCGGUCGAUACUGCCGGACUAGAGUUCGGAAGAGGCGAGUGGAAUUCCCGGUGUAGCGGUGAAAUGCGCAGAUAUCGGGAGGAACACCAAUGGCGAAGGCAGCUCGCUGGGACGUUACUGACGCUGAGACGCGAAAGCGUGGGGAGCAAACAGG
rnacentral:rRNA from 1 species